CCUACGGGUGGCAGCAGUGGGGAAUAUUGCACAAUGGGGGAAACCCUGAUGCAGCGACGCCGCGUGAGUGAAGAAGCGUUUCGGCGCGUAAAGCUCUGUCAGCGGGGAAGAAACACGGUUCGCGAGAGCCGCGGACGGUACCCGACCAAGAAGCCCCGGCUAACUACGUGCCAGCAGCCGCGGUAAUACGUAGGGGGCAAGCGUUAUCCGGAAUUACUGGGUGUAAAGGGAGCGUAGACGGUGAUGUAAGUCUGGAGUGAAAGGCGGGGGCCCAACCCCCGGACUGCUCUGGAAACUAUGUGACUGGAGUGCAGGAGAGGUGAGCGGAAUUCCUAGUGUAGCGGUGAAAUGCGUAGAUAUUAGGAGGAACACCAGUGGCGAAGGCGGCUCACUGGACUGUAACUGACGUUGAGGCUCGAAAGCGUGGGGAGCAAACAGGAUUAGAUACCCUUGUAGUC
rnacentral:rRNA from 1 species